rnacentral:tRNA from 1 species
GUCGGCGUCGCCGACGACGCAGAGCUCGGCGGGCUCCGGACCCGCCUCGCCGCCCGCUGCCUCGGGGCCCGGUGCCGUUCCGACCAGCUCGCGGACG